rnacentral:rRNA from 1 species
AUUGAACGCUGGCGGCAUGCCUUACACAUGCAAGUCGAACGGGUAACAGGUCUUCGGAUGCUGACGAGUGGCGAACGGGUGAGUAAUACAUCGGAACGUGCCCGAUCGUGGGGGAUAACGCAGCGAAAGCUGUGCUAAUACCGCAUACGAUCUACGGAUGAAAGCGGGGGAUCGCAAGACCUCGCGCGGACGGAGCGGCCGAUGGCAGAUUAGGUAGUUGGUGGGAUAAAAGCUUACCAAGCCGACGAUCUGUAGCUGGUCUGAGAGGACGACCAGCCACACUGGGACUGAGACACGGCCCAGACUCCUACGGGAGGCAGCAGUGGGGAAUUUUGGACAAUGGGGGAAACCCUGAUCCAGCCAUGCCGCGUGCAGGAUGAAGGCCUUCGGGUUGUAAACUGCUUUUGUACGGAACGAAAAGGUCCUUUCUAAUAAAGAGGGCUCAUGACGGUACCGUAAGAAUAAGCACCGGCUAACUACGUG